AUACGUAGGUGACAAGCGUUAUCCGGAUUUACUGGGCGUAAAGGGCGUGUAGGCGGUCUCGCAAGUCAGAAGUGAAAUUCCUGAGCUCAACUCGGGCGCUGCUUCUGAAACUGCAGGACUUGAGUGCUGGAGGGGAUAGCGGAAUUCCUAGUGGAGCGGUAAAAUGCGCAGAUAUUAGGAAGAACACCGGUGGCGAAGGCGGCUAUCUGGACAGUAACUGACGCUGAGGCGCGAAAGCACGGGGAGCAAACAGGAUUAGAUACCCUGGUAGUCCGUGCCGUAAACGAUGAAUACUAGGUGUAGGGGGUAUCGACUCCCUCUGUGCCGCAGUUAACACAAUAAGUAUUCCGCCUGGGGAGUACGGCCGCAAGGUUGAAACUCAAAGGAAUUGACGGGG
rnacentral:rRNA from 1 species